AACGAACGCUGGCGGCGCGUCUUAAACAUGCAAGUCGAACGGCAGGAAGGGGCUUGCCCCUUCUGAGAGUGGCGGACUGGUGAGUAACACGUGGGUGACAUACCUUUUAGUUGGGGAUAGCUAUUAGAAAUAGUAGGUAAUACCGAAUGUUACCGUACCUGUUAGAGGGGUACGAGGAAAGGAGCUAAGGCUUCGCUAAAAGAAUGGCUCGCGGCCCAUUAUGCUCGUUGGUGAGGUAACGGCCCACCAAGGCGAUGAUGGGUAUCCGGCCUGAGAGGGUGAACGGACACAUUGGGACUGAGAUACGGCCCAGACUUCUACGGGAGGCAGCAGUUAAGAAUAUUCCGCAAUGGACGAAAGUCUGACGGAGCGACGCCGCGUGGAUGAAGAAUGCCGAAAGGUUGUAAAAUCCUUUUAAGCCUGAUGAAUAAGCACAGUAGGGAAUGAUUGUGCGGUGACCGUAGGGCUUGAAUAAGCACCGGCUAAUUACGUG
rnacentral:rRNA from 1 species